rnacentral:rRNA from 1 species
UCGUGCUAGGACGAACGCUGGCGGCGUGCUUAACACAUGCAAGUUGAACGGUAUGACAUGGAAGCUUGCUGAAGUGUCAUAUAGUAGCGGACGGGUGAGUAAUGCAUGAGAAGCUGCCAUUGGGAGGGGGACAACAGUUGGAAACGGCUGCUAAUACCCCGUAUGCCGGAGGGUGAAAGGGAGUAAUCCGCCCGAUGAGGUGCUCAUGUCCUAUCAGCUGGUUGGUGGGGUAACGGCCUACCAAGGCGACGACGGGUAGCCGGCCUGAGAGGGUGAACGGCCACACUGGAACUGAGAUACGGUCCAGACUCCUACGGGAGGCAGCAGUGGGGAAUAUUUGGGGCAAUGGGGGCAACCCUGACCCAGCGACGCCGCGUGGGGGAAGACGGCCUUCGGGUUGUAAACCUCUUUUGUACGGGAAGAAGGAAGUGACGGUACUGUACGAAUAAGUCCCGGCUAACUACGUGCCAGCCGCCGC